rnacentral:rRNA from 3 species
GGGACUCAUAGGAGACUGCCGGGGUCAACUCGGAGGAAGGUGGGGACGACGUCAAGUCAUCAUGCCCCUUAUGUCCAGGGCUGCAAACAUGCUACAAUGGCUGGUACAAAGGGCUGCGAAACCGCGAGGUCGAGCGAAUCCCAUAAAGCCAGUCUCAGUUCGGAUCGGAGUCUGCAACUCGACUCCGUGAAGCUGGAGUUGCUAGUAAUCCCGGAUCAGCAACGCCGGGGUGAAUACGUUCCCGGGCCUUGUACACACCGCCCGUCACACCACGAAAGUCGGUAACACCCGAAGCCAGUGGCCUAACCCUUUCGGGAAGGAGCUGUCGAAGGUGGGAUCGGCGAUUGGGGUGAAGUCGUAACAAGGUAACCGUA